UACAGAGGGUGCGAGCGUUGUCCGGAAUCACUGGGCGUAAAGGGCGCGUAGGUGGCGACCCAAGUCGAUGGUGAAAGCUCGCCGCUCAACGGCGAGUCGGCCACCGAUACUGGGUUGCUCGAGCACUGUAGAGGCUAAUGGAAUUCCGGGUGUAGCGGUGGAAUGCGUAGAUAUCUGGAGGAACACCGGUGGCGAAGGCGGCAUCCUGGACCGACACUGACGCUGAGGCGCGAAAGCUAGGGGAGCAAACGGG
rnacentral:rRNA from 1 species